rnacentral:rRNA from 1 species
AUUGAACGCUGGCGGCAGGCCUAACACAUGCAAGUCGAACGGUAACAGGAAGAAGCUUGCUUCUUUGCUGACGAGUGGCGGACGGGUGAGUAAUGUCUGGGAAACUGCCUGAUGGAGGGGGAUAACUACUGGAAACGGUAGCUAAUACCGCAUAACGUCGCAAGACCAAAGAGGGGGACCUUCGGGCCUCUUGCCAUCGGAUGUGCCCAGAUGGGAUUAGCUAGUAGGUGGGGUAACGGCUCACCUAGGCGACGAUCCCUAGCUGGUCUGAGAGGAUGACCAGCCACACUGGAACUGAGACACGGUCCAGACUCCUACGGGAGGCAGCAGUUGGGAAUAUUGCACAAUGGGCGCAAGCCUGAUGCAGCCAUGCCGCGUGUAUGAAGAAGGCCUUCGGGUUGUAAAGUACUUUCAGCGGGGAGGAAGGGAGUAAAGUUAAUACCUUUGCUCAUUGACGUUACCCGCAGAAGAAGCACCGGCUAACUCCGUG